rnacentral:rRNA from 1 species
UACGGGGGGGGCAAGCGUUGUUCGGAAUUACUGGGCGUAAAGGGUGCGUAGGCGGCUUUCUAAGUUGGAUGUGAAAACUAUGGGCUCAACCCAUAGCCUGCAUCCAAAACUGGAGAGCUUGGGUUCUGGAGGGGAAAGCGGAAUUCCUGGUGUAGCGGUGAAAUGCGUAGAUAUCAGGAGGAACACCGGUGGCGAAGGCGGCUUUCUGGGCAGACACCGACGCUGAGGCACGAAAGCUAGGGGAGCAAACAGG